GACAGAAAAUAGUGUAGAGUGCCGUAGCUAUGACCGGCCUCCUGGCUUUAUAGCCCGCCUGUUUACAUUUUAGUGGUUAUAUUUCUUAUUAUUUUCAAUAGCCUCGUAUAUUCGAUUCAAAGGACAACAAAUGGAGAAUUCUGAUAAAUUGGAAUGGAUACAUCCAGAUAAAGUAAUGGAAAUCCACCGCGUUAAAGAGAAGAAAAAAGCUCUCCAAGCUCGAAUGAAUAGAAGCCAAUUCAAAAAUACAACAACUUUGUUUACCCCAAGUAGUCAACUUCAUAAUGAUGCCAAAUUCACUAAUAAUUUACCUCCAAAACGUAAAAAUCCCUUUCUUAAAAAUGAAUCAAUUAAAAAAUUGAAAGAAUCCAACCUUUUGGAACUUGAUGCUAGUAGUGACUCAACCUUAUUUGACUUAUUGAAUUUGAAACCUUCAGAAAUCACGAUGGCAACCAAUCAUAAUAAAGAAAGAAAGUUUUCAUUUGCCAGUGUGUUAACAAAAUUAGACUCUCCGGACAGUAUUCCAGAAAGAGAAGUUUUAAAAGGUGAAAAAAAUAUACCAAUGGAUUGGACGCUCCAUACAAAAUUGAGACUCAUGUCAGAAAACGCGUUUGAUUGGAACGUCAAAUUGAAAACUAGUGAGGAAGCAUCCAGUACUACUGGUUUUGUAAGGUGUUUGGAUAUAGGAGAGAAAGAAACCACAUUAGACACAAGUCCAAAUGCAAGGUUUCAUCGACAUUGUUUAAUUUGGCAACAUCCAUCUUUGCCAUGGUUGGAAUUGUAUCCUCGAACUGUGGACAAAGCAACUAGUUCUAUGUUCAACAAUUCUACUGUAGCUUCAAAUCAAACCAUGAAGGAUGCACUUUACAAGGAAUGGAGUGAAAGUUUUAGAUCACUGUACCAUUUAUUGAGAGCAAGACAGUGUCCAUAUUUUUACGUAUGUGCCAAUCCGUUUACAGCACUUUUUCGUGCUGCUGGAAUUUGUGGAUUAUCCGAACUUCAUGCUCUUCUAACGCCUACAACACGAGGAUUUCGCCAGGCUUUAAAACAAGAAGGAAUCGAGUAUACAAUGCCAUUACGGAAUAAUAGCCAGUUAGGCCAUGAAAUCUCCGACUCGACUGUUGGAAAAGUGGAGUUUUUUGCUUAUAAUGUUACCACUCUUCCACAUCAAAAGAAGAAGUUUGAUGAAGAAGCUGAAACCGAAGAGAAAUGGUUACAGAGUCUAGGAGUGGAAGAAUCAGAAAUUCGGAAGAUACAUAAUUUACAGACUCGUUUAGCGCUAGAAAAAGAAUGUGAGCAGGAUAGCGAAAAGCAGUCGUUAAUUUUUGUGAUAGGUAUAGAAGCUCAGGCAUUGUUUAAUUUUUUAAUUAACUGUAAAUCUGCCACGACGACAGUGGGCACCAUGGCAGGAAUUCCCCCUACUCUUUUGGCUCCAGUGGCGUUUAACGGAGCUACUCUUAAAUCACUCAAGGUUCGAGAAAGUGAGGUGCUAAUCGAUAACAAGAAAUUUCAUUCCUUAGAACUGAAAGGACCACUAUUGCCACAUGUACUACCAUCUUUGUGUUCUCUGAUGAAAUCUAGAGAACGACAAUAUUUUUCUGUGAGCUGUGCACAAUUACUUGCAACAACAUCAUUCUCGAAAGCUAAACAUGGCCAAGAAUUUCAGAUGAGAGAUUUAGUCAAUUUUGGAAGACAUUGUGUCAUCUGGGGAUGAUUGGGGCUCAAUUUUUAGAGUCGUUCCGAAAUACUGUGAUAAAUAUAUUCCAGAGAAUUGCAAUCCCCUCUCUCGAAUUUGUACCAGCCUUCUUCAAAAUUAUCGUUCCAGGAAAUAUUAAAGAUUUGUAGUAAUAUUAUAUCCCAUGAAUGAAACUGUGAAAACCAAGGCUAUGAAAAGAGGUAUGGAUUUGGAGCCAAAAGCGUAUACAGCAUAUGUGGUGAAUAGAGAAAAUUCACGUUAAAAUUACGGCUAUUAACCCAGGUUUUUUCAUAAAUUUGGGAGCAUUUAUGGGUGCAUCGCCUGAUGCCUUAACACGCUGCGAUUUCCAUGGACAAUCCAUAGUCGAAUUCAAGUUUCGAAGUUCCGAAAAUGACUAUAUUGAAAAUGAAACAUUACCUUCUAAUCAUCAAUAUUAUUAUCAGGUUCAAACGCAGUUGCUUGUUCUUGGUUUGGAAAAGGGCGAUUUUGUUAUGUAUCGUCCCGAAAUACCUCUGAAGAUAGUUUCUUUGAAAAGAGAUGUGAUCAUUCAAGAAAAUAUUAUAAGAAAGUAAGAAGCAUUUUGCCGCUUUGUGAUACUACCGGAAUUAUUAGCCAAGUUCUUCAAACCUAAUCAGAAUGUCUUGCAAAACCUUCCUAAAAAUCUGCAGGAUAUAAUUUUUAUUUGUUGAAAACCACCUUUUGGUAAGUUGAUUAUUUGUGCGAAGAGUGCCUGUUUUACCAAAGCCUUCCACUUUCCUUGUGUUGGUGUAAAGAGAUUGAUUAGAAAAUGGUGCUGUUCUGCUUGUGAUACAAGAAAUAAGAAAUGACUUUAUAAAUUUUGAUUUUAUGAAUAUUU